AACACUCGUGUUUUAUUUUAAACAGUUUAUAAUGACGGUAAAGAAAUAGCCCCAAUUUAUUGUUUAGCGAUUUAUCAACAUAAAGUCGAGUGAUCAACUUCAAUAGCAAAGCCGGACACUUUAAAUAGUAAAAAACGUCAUGUAACUAAAGCUUUAAACCAUGCAAUUCAGAUAAAGAAAAGUAAUUCCUGGUCUUUUUUGUAUAUGAUUUCCUAUGGAUUAUAAUUGAAAUUUGGUUGAAAAAACUAUAAGUACUGAAAAAAGGGUAAAAUUAAACAAAUACUAGACAUGAUCAUCCGGGGGUGCAGCAAUAAAUAUUGACAGAGGGUCAUCGCUCAGAUAUUGUCAAAACGGAUAAGCGUUUUUGACAUAUGAAAACUAAACACACAGAAAAACACUCGCGUUUUCGUAAUAUGAUACACACGUGACCAGCCUUUAAUACCGCCAAAGGUAUCCAGUGUCCUAGCUGCAGCUGAGAGGGAAAUGUACACAGGGCUAGAAGAAUCAUGAUUACAAUCUGGAUUAAAAGCAGUGAGUACAUUGGACAGCAUUCAAAAGAAAAAAAAUGAAGAACACAGAAACAGGCAAAAGAAAAAAAAAAGAAAAAGAAGAAACACCUGAAAUCAUGAUAUUGGAUGAAUUUUAAUUUAUCAAGAUGCUGAAGUAUAAAUGAAUAUGAUGGUUAUAGGAAGUUAACCUGAAAAAGUUCUGAGGUGUCUUACCAAAGAUAAACAAAAAAAGAAUUGAAGGAGGCAGAGUACAAAUUUCUUCCUGAAACUGGAUACUCAAAGGCAAAGGGAAGAAGUCAACUACUUUCAUAUCCAUACAUGAAAAUGUUGUUGAAAACGAAGUGGAUAAGUACACAAAAAGCCACCAUGAGGAGGGACUCAGAUCAGCUUUAUAUUUGAAAGGGACAAGAACAAUUAGAAAUGUCAGAUAUAGCGACUGAAACUUUAUAUUAUUUUACAUGUUACAUCUAUUAUACUGUAUCAAUCUUGGAAAAUAUUUGUGAUUUUAUAAAGAAUAAUUGCAAUGAAUAAAGUUUCAUA